rnacentral:rRNA from 1 species
GGCGUGCCUAACACAUGCAAGUCGAGCGAUUCUCUUCGGAGAAGAGCGGCGGACGGGUGAGUAACGCGUGGGUAACCUGCCCUGUACACACGGAUAACAUACCGAAAGGUAUGCUAAUACGGGAUAACAUAAGAAAUUCGCAUGUUUUUUUUAUCAAAGCUCCGGCGGUACAGGAUGGACCCGCGUCUGAUUAGCUAGUUGGUGAGGUAACGGCUCACCAAGGCAACGAUCAGUAGCCGACCUGAGAGGGUGAUCGGCCACAUUGGAACUGAGACACGGUCCAAACUCCUACGGGAGGCAGCAGUGGGGAAUAUUGCACAAUGGGCGAAAGCCUGAUGCAGCAACGCCGCGUGAGCGAUGAAGGCCUUCGGGUCGUAAAGCUCUGUCCUCAAGGAAGAUAAUGACGGUACUUGAGGAGGAAGCCCCGGCUAACUACGUGCCAGCAGCCGCGGUAAUACGUAGGGGGCUAGCGUUAUCCGGAUUUACUGGGCGUAAAGGGUGCGUAGGCGGUCUUUUAAGUCAGGAGUGAAAGGCUACGGCUCAACCGUAGUAAGCUCUUGAAACUGGAGGACUUGAGUGCAGGAGAGGAGAGUGGAAUUCCUAGUGUAGCGGUGAAAUGCGUAGAUAUUAGGAGGAACACCAGUAGCGAAGGCGGCUCUCUGGACUGUAACUGACGCUGAGGCACGAAAGCGUGGGGAGCAAACAGGAUUAGAUAC